rnacentral:rRNA from 1 species
AUUGAACGCUGGCGGCAUGCCUUACACAUGCAAGUCGAACGGCAGCGCGGGGCAACCUGGCGGCGAGUGGCGAACGGGUGAGUAAUAUAUCGGAACGUACCCUGGAGUGGGGGAUAACGUAGCGAAAGUUACGCUAAUACCGCAUACGAUCUAAGGAUGAAAGUGGGGGCAUCGCAAGACCUCAUGCUCCUGGAGCGGCCGAUAUCUGAUUAGCUAGUUGGUGGGGUAAAGGCCUACCAAGGCAUCGAUCAGUAGCUGGUCUGAGAGGACGACCAGCCACACUGGAACUGAGACACGGUCCAGACUCCUACGGGAGGCAGCAGUGGGGAAUUUUGGACAAUGGGCGCAAGCCUGAUCCAGCAAUGCCGCGUGAGUGAAGAAGGCCUCGGUUGUAAAGCUCUUUUGUCAGGGAAAGAAAACGGUGAGGGCUAAUAUCCCUUGCUAAUGACGGUACCUGAAGAAUAAGCACCGGCUAACUACGUACCAGCAGCCGCGGUAAUACGUAGGGUGCAAGCGUUAAUCGGAAUUACUGGGCGUAAAGCGUGCGCAGGCGGUUUUGUAAGUCUGUCGUGAAAAUCCCCGGGCUCAACCUGGGAAUUGCGAUGGAGACUGCAAGGCUAGAAUCUGGCAGAGGGGGGUAGAAUUCCACGUGUAGCAGUGAAAUGCGUAGAGAUGUGGAGGAACACCGAUGGCGAAGGCAGCCCCUGGGUCAAGAUUGACGCUCAUGCACGAAAGCGUGGGGAGCAAACAGGAUUAGAUACCCU